GAGGGGCCUGGAACAUCUCCUGUAUGAGGAAAGGCUGAGAGACCUGAGGCUAGUCAGCCCAGAGAAGACAGAGGCAAUCUUCUCUUACAAAUAUCUAAAAGGCAGGAGUCAAGAGGAUGGGGCCAGACUCUUUUCAGUGGUGCCCAGUGACAGGACAAGGGGUGGUGGGCACAAACUGGAACACAGGAAGUUCCAUCUGAACAUGACAGGGAACUUAUUUCCUAUAAGAGUGACAGAGCACUGGAGCAGGCUGCCACAGAGAGGCUGUGGAGUUUCCUUCUUCAGAGAUGUUCAGAAUUCUCCUGUAUGCUUUCCUAAGUAGCUUACUCCAGGGAACCUGUUUUAACAAGGGGAACUGGACUAGAUGAUCCCCAGAGGUCUCUUCUAACCCCUUUGAAUCUGCGACUCUGUGUUUUUAAAUAGUUUACUUUCUGACACCUAAAUCAAAGCAUAUAUAUUCUACUCUUACCUUUAACCUUUGUAAGAAAUAUACCUGCCAAGAGGUUUUGAGCAUGUGCAGAAGUAAAUGCACACAAACCUUUGCAGUCAAUGGUGUAACUUCAGACCUAAUUAUGUCUGCAAUCAAAAAGAGGUUAUUGUCUCCCUACACCCUCACAAGACAUUAGUGUAGAAGGAACAUGACAAAGGCACUACAGUCACCAAAGACAUUUCUAAGUCCACCCACACUCCUGCAGAAUAAUAACAGCAUGAUCAAGCACAUACUUUUACCCAGCUGUUCCAGUUCAGACUGCGUUUACCUUCACGACCUCAUGACUACAGUAAGCCAGGACAAAAGAAGGCAUUCUCUUUUCUUUGGCAGAGUGAAGGUGCAGUCAGCUGCUGAACGGGUGUAGGUUAAAUCACCACAGCUAUUUGAUCCAGUGCAGGUGAGUCAGAGAACUAUACAGGCCAACACUUCUUGGCACAAUUUUUUUCUUGGAAGGAACUUUGGCAAUGACCCAGUGAAUGUAGUUAAGUGAGAGGUCAAAAUGUAGAGCCUCAACAAAGACCAAAAAGCUCACCUGAACAAAUCUUUGAAAUCCUAAAUAGGAAUUUCCCUCUUUCUUUAAAAAUCAUCAGAUCUUCUAACAUCUUGACAAAGCUGGAAAAAGAUAUUACUUCUAUAGCAAUACUAUCUACAGGUUCAGAGCAAGACCCAGAGCCCUGGCUGCACUGAACACUGGACCGCACCUGGUACUUAUUCCAUUAAUCUCCUUCACCUUCAUUUAAGGGAGAUAACGUCAAUCUAGAAUGCGUGUAGACAUGUGAAUGAAGUAUUAUCUUGGCUAGCAAGCAUGAUGAAGAGAAAAAGGGCCUGUCCACCUGAGAACAUAGGAAUGUUUUCAGGGUGUGUAGGGGUGCAACAAGGAAGGAUAAAGCCCUCUUUAAAUUAAAGCUUGCAAAGGAGGUAAAGGAAGACAAGAAAGGUUUUAUUACAUAUGUCAGCAGUGAAAGAAAUGCUAGGAAAAAUGUGGGUCCCCUACUAAAUGAGGUGUGUGCCUUGGUAAAAGGGGAUGCUGAGAAGACAGAUUCUGAAUGCCUUCUUUGCUUCAGUUUUUUAAUGCUAAGAUUAGCCCUCAGCAGCCUCAGACUCUGGAGGUAAAAGAAAGAGUCUGGGUAAAGAAAGGCUUUCUGUUGGUCAAAGUGGAUCUGGACAGAGAGCAUGUAGCCAAAAUCAAUGCACACAAAACCAAGGGCCCUGGUGGGAUGCACCCAUAUGCACUGAAAGAACUGGCAGAGGUUAUUGCUGAACCACCCUCUAAUCAUCUUUGAAAUGUCCUAACAAAUGUGAAAGGUACCUGAAGACUGGAUUCACCAAGGGGAAAUCAUGCUUGACCAACACGAUAGCCUUCUGCGAUGUCAUAACUGUCUGCAUAGAUGGGGGGAGAACAGAGGACAUUGACUUCAGCAAGGCGUUUGACACCUUCUCCUAAAACAUCCUUGCUAUGAAACUUAGAUGGCAUGGCACUGGUUCAAAAACGGAUAAAGAAGGGAUGAGGAGAUGUGCUAUGAUGAAUAAAGAUACCAAAUCAGCUCACAAACACAAAACUGGAGCAUUUUCAAAAAAGUCAGGUGCAUGGUGAGUGGAAGCUGUUCCAAGUCUCGUGCUCAUACAGCAGCCCGCAGAUGUUGUACAUCCACAUCUGAGCAACCAGCUGUCUUCUCGUCAGUAUUAAGUGUUCAGCUGACAUUAAAGGGACAGACAGCACUGAAACUGAGAGCUCGGAAACUCAAAUGGCUUUUCUGAAGUUUGCUGUGCCAGUGAAUUAUUGUGCACGCUUUUUUCUCAAACAAUGUUACUACUGAGCAUUAAAAAUAAGAGAGAGAAAAAUCGUGAGACUUGCCACAGAGCCAUAAACAACUCAAUAGUAAUAAAAUAUUCCCUAGCAGUAAGAGGGAAAAAGACACAUAAAAGCAACAUCAUAAAAUUUCAAGAGAUUAGUAUUAGAUACAGAAACUAGACAGAAGUGGCAGCCAAAGGCCUUUGAGUAUCAUCAUAUUUAUUAACUUUUUUCCUCUCCUGGAUUUUCUGACCUGCUUCAUAAAAUAGUUUCUGUUUUGUGUAUCAUAUCUGACAGCUCAAAAAACCCAACUACUCCUACACAAGAAAUAUAAAAAGAGGUUAUUUGAUAUGAUAUGCCAUACAUUAAGUACUUGGUGUAAUGUGUCAAAGAGUAUCUGGGUCCAGGUAUCUGCUCUGACUCUACCUUAACUGAAUAGGGAAAGCCAGAUGUUUGUGCUCCAUUACCUCCCUGGAGACUCUUUUCCAUCCAAAGAAAAGCUAGAUACGUGAGAGUGAAGCAGCAGUGAUACACUCCAACUGGUUCCCCAGUGUGGGAAAUCAGAGUCUAGAAACCCAGGAUACACCUUGCAGGGUGUCUAACCCAGAGUUAUGAUAUCAAGGUCAAGAUAAAUUGAAGUCCUAUAGUAAAGGAAUUAGAAUCUGAUCUUAGAAAAUGUAAAGCACAUUUAUUUUUAAGGGAUGCAAUGAACCACUCACAGUAUUCACUCAUCCAGAGCUGAGUUGGUGGACAUUUAGAUGAAGAGACUAAUUUUUAAAUGACAAGGACUAGGUGAAAAGGAUUUUGCUGUAAGUGACGUUUGGUUCUAAAGUUCUUUAAUUUUGUAUGAAGGGAGGGAAAGGUUGUAGCUGGAAACACAUCCACAAAAUGACCCAUAACAAUUGUCUUCAGUAUUUGCCUUAGAUUUCAAACCCCAGGUUUUAUUCUAUUUCAAAACAGAAGAAGUUCCAAACAUGCAAAAAUACCAAGAACUCGGCAACUCCCUUUCUAACUUGUGAUAAGGAUAGCAAACGAUUCUAUGAUGCUGUGGUUCUCCAAUGAGAGGACAAAAGGAAUUGAGAUGAGGUGAGCAGCUGUGAAGGCAGAGGUGUUCUAGGGAUGAAGGAUUGUAUUGCAAAAGGUGGAAGUGCUUUGAGGGAAAACUCAAGAAAAAAAAAUAAUAGGAAACAAUUUUUAUCUUGGGAAUAAUCUAAUGUGAACUGACAAAGCACAACAGUUCUUCCCGUCCUUCUGGUACUGAGGUGUCUCUGUCCAACAAGCUUUAUGCUGUAUGAGUAGACAGGAAGAAUCACUUUCAGCCAUGGGCAAAAAUAACCUGCAAGAUUUAAGCACAGUACAAAUGCAAGGAACUCAAUACAAGUUCCAACCUGAAAGUGAUGCCUAGGUUAUAAGUCAACCAGAAGAGUUGUGUUGUCAGUAAUGACACAAAGGGCAUAGGAGAGAGCAAAUCUUUUGUCAGGUGCUGCACAGUGAUAUACACGGGCUACAGGAGAUGACUCACUUCUCUUUCCAGCUUUCUUGCCUAAAAAGAAAAUCAAGAAAAAGGAGUGGAUUCACAGUACAGACUGGGCUGUUCUACGUCCUAUGCAUUAGCAGGGAGUUGUAUGGCAGCAUCUUCUCCAUUUGGAGAAGUGGACCAGAAGUCCAGGCUCAGAAAAUUCACUUCCAGGAGGGGCCUAAUAGAAAGCAAUUGAAAGCUGUGCUGUUGUGAGCUGAAGGUGAUCCUGCAGUCCCUGUAAUCCAGCUAGCGCUUUUGUAAAGAAACGUUUCUAUGGCACACUGCCAAAGGACAAUGAGAGUCUUUCAGAAGCAGAAUUUUGCCCAGAACAGAUGGAUAUAACAGCCUUUAGUUGCAAACAGAAGCCUAACAGCAGCAAAAGGGACAUGACUGUGUAUAUAAACAGUGGCACAGACAAAGCUGAUAAUGCUUUUAAAGCGGACGUGCACCAGCAACACCUUGUGAAGAGAACGUGCAAUGAGCAGUGAGGGACCAGAUGCUUCCUUGUGAAGGGCAAGUGAAUUAUCUGCGCUCACACUCUCAUCUGUUAGCUGAUCACAUCUACUCUUAGUCACUGUUGUUAAGGAUUCGUGUGUGCACAUUUUCUGUUGAUCUGCACCAUCAUACUUUAUUUCCAGAAACGCUCUGUACUCAUCUUAUGUUCAACUAUAAGACUUAAACAGUGGAUGAGAGAUUCUGAACAGAGGAAGGUUCCAGGGGCUGCUGAAGCCAUGUCUAUUCCUUCUUGUGUCUACCACAUAAAACAAGCAAGCAAAUGAGCAGCUCUGGGGACAUGCCCUUUCGGGACAUUCAAGAAGACUUGCACUGAAGGAUGCAUUACACUCAGCUGUCCCAACCAUCUGGCAUGUUUCUGCGUGGGCAAAAGGGUACAUAAUUUCCCCUUGCCAAAAAAAAAAAGUUACCACGGAGAUGAGUGUGGCUCCUCUGUCUUCGGGGAACCCAGAGUAUCCUCAGGUUCCCUAGAUGUCUGGAUAUGUGCCAUACAGACUUGCCAAAGUUUAAGAAGUAGCUUAGUGGCAGCAGGGUGGACCUUUGACUGACUGCCCUGGUAGAUACCUAAUUUAAGAUGUGGACAGUAGCUCUCCAGGCCCCAGUAACUCUAAGGACUUGAUGUCCAUUCCUUGAAAUGGAAGUUGAGGUACGUGGCUUGCAGGCAGUUACCUACAUUUAACAGCUAAAUUUAGAUGUCUACAAUCUGGAGCUGAGUUACACUCCAUAUUUCCCGUCACAGCUCACGACCUGGCAAAAAUACUCAGCCAGAAGCAUCUUCUGAAACUAUUUGACUUCCUUUAUUCCCCACUUUUUUCCACUACUCUGAAAGAGCCUUCAUACACCUCCACAAUUAGGUCAUCCUUCUCACUCUGACCUCUAAUUCUGAGUCUUUUCCCUCACACUGAAUAGGCUAAGAGCCUAUUAGUGACAGACAUGGUUCUUCGGAAGCCAAGAAAAAAAGACUAUCUCCAGAUUGUGCGCACGUGAGGCAUUUGUAGAUUAAUGCAUCAGUAGGUAUCCUUUGGGUCUUUGUGAUCAUAGAAUCAUUAAAGAGCAGUUAACAUUAAUCUUAUGGCUGAUAAAAGAGUCUGAGAAGCCUUCUGCCCUCAAGAAAAUGACUAUACCAGUGAAUCCUGGCUCAUCAGGACAAAACAACAACGACAACAAAACAGAGGGAGAAGGGCACAGACAGGGCACCCCUGAAGAGGGUCAUGGAAACGUGUAGAAACACACACUUGGCAGAACAACUAAUGAAACACCUGUUAAACCUGAUAAACCAUUCCUUUUCCAUCGACUGUUUUCCAUAAUUGAGGCCAAACUCUUUUCAGUGUUGUCCAGUGACAGGAUAAGAGGCACUCUGACAUGAACAGAAGCACAAGGAGUUCCAUAGGAAUAUGAGGAAAAACUUCUUCACUGCGUGGGUGACAGAGCACUGGCACAGGCUGCCCAGAGGCUGUGAGGUCUCCUUGGAGAUCUCCAGCAGCUGCCUGGACACAGGCCUGGGCACCCUGCUCUGGGUGGCCCUGCUGGAGAAGGGGUGGGCCAGAGGGACACAGAGGGCCCUGCCAGCCUCAGCAGAUCUCUGUGUUUGUGUAUAAUGGUAUUCUUUAAUGUUUUUAUCUUGAAAUGACAUGAUACUUCCAAAAGGUGUCCGUUACUUGCCUCACCAUAAUGAACUGCAACAGGUCAGCAGCUUUAAUAAGCUCAGGGAGGGAAGGAAGACCUGAGGUCUCCAGUUUGCCCUACAGGUAUCAGAAGUACAGUUAAGCCCAGACUCGCAGCACUUCUUUUUCCUCAUUGAAUUUGAUAAAACUGCUUCUGAGCUUGAUAAACACAGGGUGGAUUAAGACUGUGUGUGCACAGCUGCAAAUGAAAGGCAUCAAAUUUUAUCUCAGAAGAAUGGCAUCCCAUUUGGUCAUUUUCCUAACCAGCCCAUCUGCACUGAAGCAUUACAUAUGAGCACUCCCAGACUAAAACCAAAGGUGAUUAAAUUUUCUUUCCAAUGAUUUCUCUCCUUUCUAAGGAAGUGAGUGUGGGGCUGGAGAGGUGUGUGAACAUAGUACGAGUUCACCUGACACUGCAAACCAAAGAGAACACUUUUAUAUGGGAUUGCUGUCCACUUAUUCCAGCUCUGCAUCCCUAUCAGAGUUCUUCAGCUCAUUAUCAUUCCAUAUGUGACGAGCUUCUCUGUGGAAAAUCAUUGGCCAAAUGAAGUAAUUUAAAACUGUCAUAGGUAUUUGGGGUUUGUCAGUCAGAAACAGGUACCAUUUUCAUUAUCCUUAUAGGACUAAAGUAAUAAAUUUCCCCUGCCAUCUCAACUUCUUAAUAUGCCCAUUGUUACAGUUACAUAAAGGUGCUUCAUACUACGAUAGCUAUUCCGUUACUGAGAGGAAAAUCAUCAUUCCAAUGUCUCAUCUUCAUAAUGGCAUAGUUACAUGCACCACAGAACUCUUACCCUAUUUUGGCUUUUAUUCUUAAAUGACACUCCCCUCUCCAAGUAGGAUUAAUUACAGCAGUAAAAUUUGUAGGGCUGGCCUCGGCAUUGAGAAAAUGAAUUGUUUCUACUCAUGCAUUUAUACAGCUGAAGUAACAACAGAAAUAAUAUAUAUGCUUAUACGCUGACUUUCCAGUGGAGAAUACUGUAAUGAAACUCAGGUAUGUGUGCUAAAUUACACCUGUAUACUGGAGAGCAAGCACAUUAAGGACUAGAGUGUAUUUUCCAUGUAUGAGAUCUCAG